AUAGUUAAGAUGACAUCACACUACAAUAGAGUGGGGAUUCUUAAUCCAGUAUAACUGAUGUCCUUAUAAGAGGAAAAUUGAAAACAGACAUACACAGGCAGAUGAUAUGAAAACACGUGAUGGAAAACCACCCAUUUGACAAUAGAGGCUGAGAUUGAAGUGAUGCAUCUACAAGUCAAGAACAGGAAGGAUUACGGAGAACUGCCAGAAAUUUGGAAGAGGAAUGGAGGAUUCUCCUCUAGAGCCUUCAGAGAAACAGCGUGGCCCGGCCAACACCUUGAUGCAGGCUUCUAGCCUCUGGAACUGUGAGAGAGGUCUUCUGCGGUCAUCAAAAUCUCUGUGAACUUCUUGUCCAAAUCCUCUGUUCCAAGGACCACUUCUAGGAUCAAAUCGAUAGUUUCCAGAUCGAAAUCUACCUCUUUCUUCAUGUAAGCCUUUUGGACCACCAUAGACAGGUAGAACCCGAUGUUCUCUCUCAUCAAAAUCUCUAUGCCCCCAGGGCUUCUCUGGAUUAAAGCCAAAAUGGUCUCUUCGACCAAGAUGAUCUAUGCCUGGCCUCACAAGAUUCUCUCUAAUAUCGACAGGAGGUCUUCCAAAAUGAUCCCUACCAUCUAAUGGAGGCCUUCCAGGACCUUCUCUUGGAUCUAUAGGCCGUCCAACCACAUCCCUAACAUCCACCGGGGGAGGUCUACUAAUGCUUUCCCUGGCUUCAAUGGGAGGAAACCGGGACUAGAAAAGGUCUUUCUGGCUGACUAAAAAUAUCUCCUGGAGGAAAAGGACCACGAGGUGGUGGUGGAUGAAGAGCUGAAUCAAGUACUGAUGGGGGAGGGAUUCCCCGUUGGGGUGGAAUUCCAGGCUGCAUUAAAGGGAAUCUUGGUCCAGGUGUCUGUGGUAUUAGUCCUGGACGAAU